rnacentral:rRNA from 1 species
AUAGUGGGGGAGUAGCCUUUCGAAAGGAAGAAUUAAUACCGCAUAAGAUUGUAGUAUCGCAUGAUAUAGCAAUUAAAGGAAGCAAUCCGCUAUAAGAUGGACCCGCGUCGCAUUAGCUAGUUGGUGAGGUAAUGGCUCACCAAGGCGACGAUGCGUAGCCGACCUGAGAGGGGUGAUCGGCCACAUUGGGACUGAGACACGGCCCAGACUCCUACGGGAGGCAGCAUG